rnacentral:rRNA from 1 species
AACGAACGCUGGCGGCAUGCCUAACACAUGCAAGUCGAACGAAGUCUUCGGACUUAGUGGCGCACGGGUGCGUAACGCGUGGGAAUCUGCCCUUGGGUGCGGAAUAACUUCUCGAAAGGGAUGCUAAUACCGCAUAAUGUCGUAAGACCAAAGAUUUAUCGCCCAAGGAUGAGCCCGCGUAAGAUUAGCUAGUUGGUGGGGUAAAAGCCUACCAAGGCGACGAUCUUUAGCUGGUCUGAGAGGAUGAUCAGCCACACUGGGACUGAGACACGGCCCAGACUCCUACGGGAGGCAGCAGGUGGGGAAUAUUGGACAAUGGGACGAAAGCCUGAUCCAGCAAUGCCGCGUGAGUGAUGAAGGCCCUAGGGUUGUAAAGCUCUUUUACCAGGGAUGAUAAUGACAGUACCUGGAGAAUAAGCUCCGGCUAACUCCGUGCCAGCAGCCGCGGUAAU